rnacentral:rRNA from 1 species
AGCAGCCGCGGUAAUUCCAGCUCCAAUAGCGUAUAUUAAAGUUGUUGCAGUUAAAAAGCUCGUAGUUGAAUUUCGGGAUCAAUAUGUUGGUCGUGCCUUGGUACGUACUGGCAUUAUUGGUUUCUACCUUCUGAAGAACCUCGAUGUCAUUAAUUUGGUGUCUUGGGGAAUCAGGACUGUUACUUUGAAAAAAUUAGAGUGUUUAAAGCAGGCUCGCGCUUGAAUACAUUAGCAUGGAAUAAUGAAAUAGGACGUUUGAUUCUAUUUUGUUGGUUUCUAGGAUCGACGUAAUGAUUAAUAGGGAUAGUUGGGGGCAUUAGUAUUCAAUUGUCAGAGGUGAAAUUCUUGGAUUUAUUGAAGACUAACUACUGCGAAAGCAUUUGCCAAGGAUGUUUUCAUUAAUCUAAAGAACGAAAGUUAGGGGAAUCGAAGACGAUCAGAUACCGUCGUAGUCUUAACCAUAAACUAUGCCGACUAGGAUCGGAUGAUGUUAAUUUUUUAAUGUACUCAUUACGCGCCU